rfam:Arthrobacter sp. PAMC25486, complete genome.
GCCUUCGUAGCUCAGGGGAUAGAGCGUCGGUUUCCGGUACCGUAGGUCGGGGGUUCGAAUCCCUCCGAGGGCA